CGGCUUUUCAUUUCAUUGCAUUUCUAUAGAUUUACUCAGAGAAAUUGUUUGCAAUGAAUAGGCUUUGUUUGAGUUUUUAUUUAUUUUAAAAGUUAUAUUUAUUUCAAUUGCUUUGAAAUUCUAGCUCAAUUCGUUAGCUUUGUGGUAGAAUUUGAGCUCGAUUAAAUUUCUUUGGACUCGUUUAGAAUCUGUUUGGUUGUUGAGAAAUCGUAGGAAAAUAAAUGAGUUUAUAUUGUAUCGGUUUUGUUGAGAUUUUUUUUGUUGAAAAUUUUUAGUUUUUUAAUUUUUUUUAAUUUUUAUAAUUUUAUUGUUGGUGUUUUCAAUUGGUAAAUUUUCUAGCUCGAAUCCCUAACCGUUAACUUGUGCUGAAAUUUGAGUUCUAUUAAAUUUCUUUGAUUCAUUCGAGAAUCUAUUUGGUUGUCUAAAAAUUGUAGGAAAAGAAUGAUGUAUUGGAGAGGAUUUUGGGAUUGAAUUGGCUUUGUGUGUGUGUAUAUAUUCAAUUGCUUAAAUUUCUAGCUUAAAUUGUUAAUUUGUGUUGGAUUUUGAACUCGGUUAUCUUGUACAUUCUGGUUUGAUUUGAGCUUAAAUUAUUGGUUGAUUUUGCUAUUGGAUUUUGGAUGAAAAAUAGUAAGUAAAGCUUGAAUUUUUAGGUUCUAUGUGGAAAGAUUAAGUCCUGGAAUUUGAUCUAGAUCUUGAAUUUCUAUAGCUAAGGAUUUAUUGCAUUAUUCAGAUCUACUCACUCGAUGAUGAUUUUGGGUUUUAAUGAUAGUUCAAAAUGGAAGUAUUCAGGGCUUUAGAUUGUGAAUUUUGAAUCUUUUAAGGAUGAUAAAAAGAUCUUUCGGUACUGUUCUUUAUAGCCAAAUUCUUCAGAUUAGAUUGAUGUUAUUUAUACUUCAGUGACUUGAUGUGAGAAUUCGUGUGCUUUGUAUUGCCAAUGUGCUAUUAGUAAUGUCUUUGAUUGUGUUUGCAAUGCCUUUUUCAUGUGGAGGUUCAAACCAUUUAUGCAAAAAGAACCUGCGGGGCUUGAAGGCCAUUCGCUUGAUUGAUCAUAAAGGACUAAGAGGCAUUGGGAGAGGAACAAUAACUUACUGCUUGUGUUAUAGUAAUGGGAGCAUCCAAGCUUGUACAAACCCUCUUGUCUCAAGCACAUGGAGGAGGUACUACUUAGUUGGAACCAAAUCUAUUUCUCAUUAAGGAUCAGCUGUAAUAUAGGUUUCCCCAAUGGAUACAUUGAUUUCUCAUUAAGAAGACAAUUCAAAUCGGAUAAUACAGUUACGGAGAGUCUGAAGCUCAUUCAUCAUUAGAAAUUCUCUUUCACAAAAAUAUGGCUUUUAGCUACUCAAUUUGAGAUCCGGCAGUUGAAUCUCAAGGCUGCACUACAGAUCCUACGCAAUGCAAUUGGAAAAACUCCUAAAGAUAAGGCAAGAUAGUGGUGUCCUUGGCCAUUACUGAGGCAGCUUAUACGCCCAUGUUGCACUCUCGCAUUUUUACCGAGACUGAAAAGUACUGUGACCAGGAAUUUACCACUUGCAAGGAGGAUCAGCCAUUGUUUGUCCAAAUGAUCCAGACAUUUGUUAGAGGCUGCAAAGAGAGUGGAAGCUUUUUGUGACUAUGUUGACAUCAAUUUGGGGUGGCUUUGCUGUUAAUUUGGGUUGCUGAUAUAAGGAAACAUGUGAAGAAUUUAGAAUUUGGGAAGGGACAUGUAUAUAAAGCUGUGCAUGUAACCGAUUUUUAUUUCCUUUCAUCAACUUUGGCCUUAUAUAGGAUGUAUUAGGAUUUGUUCUGUUCACCUACUACCAUGAUAGAUUGUGCAAAGAACCUUGCUUUUACAAUUUAAAACUCUUGCCCCUGUUGACUAUUGAAUUAGAUCAUAUAAAUAUUGAUCGGGUUAAUUUGA